UACCUUGCACUCGUCUCAUCCUCAGAUCUGAUGCAUGGAUGUGGUGGAUUGGAUUAUUCAAGCUAUUGUGUGCAGGCCUGCAGGGUAGAUGUGUAGCGUUUUGAUAUGGUUCUUCUUUGAUCAAUUUAUCUGUUAGGCACCAGUAAGAUCACCAAUCGGUUAGUACAAUAAAUCAAAAGACUAAUAAGUUUUGCUUUGUUGGUAUUUAUCCUUCAUACUGAAUCCAUGGACACCAUGAACUGGGUUGGUAGUAUUAUUUCAGUUCAAGUGUGGAUUUGUCAUUUUGUUGGAACUGAACUGCAUGCAUGCAUACAUGCUGACAUAAAUUUGAGUCUUCGUUAAUUUGAUCAAUGCAUAAGUAAGGUCCAGUUCAUUAGAACAGAGCAGAGCAGAAUAUUGGUUUGCUGAUACAUGACAUUAUUGUAGAAUACAUCUUUUUAACUAAUAUAUGCUUUAUUGUAGAAUAUUGUUAGCUACACAGUUUCCUUAUUAAAACAAUUGUUUGGUUGUUUCCAGAUUACUAUCCAUUCAUCCAUGCUUGAUGCUUCUACUUUGGAGGUGCGUCUUCUGUAGAAUACUUGUGAAGUUAGAAACUCUGUGCUUCUAUCUUUGGAUUGCUAUAUUCUAGAGUUGUUAGUGGGCAAGCCUUAGUGGAUUUCUGGAGAUUGUGUUUUUUGGGUAGGAAUAGAAUUAUGGAUUUAUGGGAUACUCAGUUAUGUUUGCCUUUGAACCAAACCAAAUAAUGCCUAUGUCAUCUUUAGGAUAGAAGAUUUUAUGAUCCCUAUCUGUUUAAGCACUUAUUGUAGUUGCAGGACUGGCCUACUUGAAAUUAAGUUAAAGCAUGGGGCUAAUGCUGGUAGUGCUUUGAAGCUGAUCCAGCCGAUCAAGGAUAAGUUUUCAGGUGUCGCAUAUGCAGAUCUAUUUCAGCUAGCUAGCUCCACAGCCAUUCAGGAAGCAGGUGGCCCCAAAAUUCCCAUGAUCUAUGGAAGGGUUGACUGAAUAACUGGUCUGAAUAUAAGCUGGAUGAACUGGAUCCACUUGUUGUUUGUUCACUGGUCUUUGAACUUUACCUAAUCAAGCUAUGCAUAUCGCAAUGGUUAAAACCUACCCUGGUUUGCUGCUCCCUCCGCACUCCACGCGAAAAAUUGGGCGCGUGUCAACCUGCGCGAGGCUCGGUCGUUUUUACAUAAAAGCCCUUCAAUUUUCUCAAAAUCACAACAAAACCCAGUUCAUCCUGACGGUACAAUACUCAGAUUCAUUUAUUUUCCAUAUAAACCCCCAAACUAAUGUUUAUUUCGAUGAGAAGAAGAGAAAAAUCGAUAGUCCUGCUAUCUUUACAGAAAACACCCGCGAGCCAUUUUUCAUUUGGCCCCUCCCGCACAGCGGAACCCUAACCCCCUCCUCUCCUCCUGGCUCCCCGCUCCUGCCCGCCGCCGCCUCCCUUCCUCUCCUCCCCGGCUCCCCGCCACCGCGCUCUUCCUCCUCCGCCGGAGCUGCGCCCCCCGACUCUCAACACCCCCUCCUCUGCCGCGGCACAGGGCCUCCGCCGCCGCACAGCCGGGCCACGAGCCACGGGCCCGCGCGCUCGGCCCUUCCUCCACAGCGCCGCCUCCGCCGUGCGCUCGGCAGCCCCUCCUCCGCCGCGCUGGCGAGGUCAGGCGCAUGGCCGGGCGGCGCACGAGCAAGCGUGGCCGCGGGGCUGCCGGCGUGCGUGCGAGGUAGCGGGAGCCGCUCCUACUCUCCGUCACCGCGCCCGCUCCGCUGGAUCCAGAUCCGCCCGCUCCUGCUCUCCUCCUGGCCACGGGCCGGCCCCGGCGGCGGCUGCCGUCCGGACGCACAGCACCGACAUGGCGAGGCUGGCCGCGCUGCGCGAGCGCACGGACAGCUCGAACAGGCGGCGCUCGUCCCCCUUCGCAACCAGGAGGCGGUGCGGCCCCCGCCGCGGGCACGCGGAGCGGUAGGGGCUUGCCCACUCCGCCGUGCAAUCCCGCGCUCAACCACUCCCCAGCUCCCCGUGGCAAAGGCCACGCCCCGCUGCGCACCGUGGGAGAGCGGGCCGCUGCCUAGCCGCCCUCUUCCUCCUCGCGCCGCCUCCGCCGCGAGAUGCGGCCCUGGACUCGGCACCCCUCCGCCGCACCGCCGGGGCCCAAGCCGCGGGCCCGUGCGCUCAGCAACCCCUCCUCCACCGCGUGCACGACACCCCUCCCCCCCCACACACACACCGCGCCGUCAAGGUCGGAGCCUCGGGCCAGCGCGCUCGGCACCCCCUCCUCCGCUGCGGCCGCAGCCGCGGCCCCAUGCUCAGCACCUCCUCCGCCGCCGCGACAGCUUCGCAUUGGCCACAGCUCAUGGACCCCGUGUUUUCUCCUCCCCUGGUAACACUGCAACAGCAGCCUGUGUUGCCAUCCUCCAGUGAGCAUCCUCCUCCUCCCAAUCUCCGUUGCUCCCUGUCUGUCCAUCCUCCUCUCCCCUUCCGUUUCUAGGAUUCAGGUUCCAGAUCUUUGUUGUCACAGAUCUACUCAAGCCUGCUUCUUCCUUUGCUCCAAGGAUUUAAUUUGGGAAUGGAAGAAAAUGAAUCAUGAGUUGAAACGUUUUAAGUUCAUGUUAAUUGUCUAUCUUUCAUCAACAGGUUUAGAUUCUGGGUAAACAGAUAGGUAUGAAACUUAGCAGGUUUGGAGCCCAGAUGUGAGAGGGUGUAUUAUUGGCCAAAUUGCCUAAGGCUUUACCAGGUGGUGCAUGAACUCAAUACUAAUCUUCACUCAAAUACUAGCAUCUGUCUAAAUUGAGGUUCUCUGGAAUGCUAAAAUUUUAGUCGAGGUAGCCAACCUUCUCAGGUGGAAGAUUGAUUCCAAGGUUUCCUCUUGAUAGAAUGAUAUCAUCUACCUCUGCCAGUAUUUCAUCAAAAUGGUUCAAGCCCUCCCAUGAAAUUUGGAGCAGAUAUGGUAAAACAAAUUACAACUUAUAGUUGGCUAAUGAUGUAGAAGUACUAUCUUUAAAAAUACCUCAACAUUCUCAAUUUUGGCAAAAAUCUGUGUUUGGCUGAGAUUGCACAAUUUUGAGAGGAACUCCCGUGCCUGUGUUGAAGCAAAAAAAAAAAAAAUACCAGACUAUUGAUAACAUUCUUCUGUAUUGGAUGCAAAUAAACUGAAGCUAUUGUAUUCAGAUAUAGCAAUGUUACAUUUUCAUUGAAAAAAUAGGCAUUGCUUAGAAGGACAAGUAGUAGAGUUAACAUCUAAAGUUGCAUCCACAAUGUAAUUAGUUGGUUACCUGCCACACAUCUUCAGCAUGCCUUGUGUAAGACAAAGAGAGAAAGUCAAUCUUAUUUGGAGCACCCCAUUUUCUGAUAACCUGAAAGCAGUUCAUGCCAGUAAGUCCUAGGAUGGGCUAGAGGACAUGGUCAUUGAAAGGAAGGAAAAGGCAUCAAAGCAAAGUUUGGGAUUGUCACAGAAUAUCUGUUUGAAAAUUUUCAAAUUGGCAAAAAAAUAAGGUAUCCAGGCCAUUGGUGACCUCCAGUGGUCUAUGCCUUGCCCCUUUUUGGAUAAACAGUGAAGCAUUUGAUGGCAUUGUGCUGAAUUCCACUACACUGCCUGUUAUAUUUGUCUUCAAUACGUGCAUCAUUGUUGUGAGGGGAUCAGUUAAACGAUUUUGCCUUUUCGAUUGGUGAUCAUGUUUGGGUGCGGCCUGGAGCGGUGGGCAGGCAAGGCCAUGGGCGUGCCUCGUGGUGGGUUGGUCCCGGGUGAUGGCGAGAGGGCGGCGCAGCAACAUGGUCCUGGUCGAGCUCGAGCUCAAGCACAGCAACGAGUGCCGGCCAGCAUGCUGGAUAUGCUCAUGAACCUGCUUCCCAGUUCGUCAUUCCGAUCAUAUAUGUGUGACAAGAGCAACUAGCACUAUUAAACUUUGCCUCUAAACGACCAUGAAAACAACAGCUACUUUUUACUAUCGUCCUGCAUUUAGAGAAGAAAAUAGUAGGCAGUGAUCUAAAAACAGAGUACCUAUUGUGAUUGUAUUAUUUUUAUCCAUCUUCCUUAGCACUAAGUCAUGAACCCGUGGAUUGUUCCUACAAUUCGACAUGAUGUGAUAUGUAAAACUUGUACUUGACUAAAACAGUGCAUAAUGUUGCAGGCAAGCUGCAUCCUGACUGCUUAUUUAAACACUACAAUGCCGGAUAGACACCUAU